rnacentral:rRNA from 1 species
UCGUCUAUAUACGUAUAGCAUAUCAAUAAGCGGAGGAAAAGAAACUAACAAGGAUUCCCUUAGUAACGGCGAGUGAAGCGGGAAGAGCUCAAAUUUGAAAUCUUCAAGGUUCUACCUUGACGAAUUGUAGUUUAUAGAAGUGUUUUCUGUUAGAUGAGUAGCAAAAGUUCCUUGGAAUAGGACAUCAUAGAGGGUGAGAAUCCCGUAUUUGGUCAUUCCUCCUAGCGUUGUGAUACACUUUCAACGAGUCGGAUUGUUUGGGAAUGCAGUCCAAAAUGGGUGGUAAAUUUCAUCUAAAGCUAAAUAUUGGCGAGAGACCGAUAGCGAACAAGUACCGUGAGGGAAAGAUGAAAAGAACUUUGAAAAGAGAGUUAAACAGUACGUGAAAUUGUCAAAAGGGAAGCGUUUGACACCAGUGUUGUUUUUCCGAAAAUCAAUUACGAAUGGCUUGAUUUUGUGUUGUAUUGACCUUAUCAGCUUUCUGCACUUUUUUCGAGUCUUUCUUAAUGCACUUUUUGGUUAACAAGUCAACAUCAAUUUCUUUUGUUGUAAAAGAGUAUUCGGAAGGUGGCUUUCUUUUCGGAGAAAGUGUUUAUAGCCCUAUACUUCUACAAUCGGAGAGAUUGAGGUCUGCAGCGUAGAUCCUUCGGGGUUAGAUACAUUUGUGCUAAGUUGUAGCUUUUCAUAGACAACUUGUUGACUAUGUUUAGUCAUGCGGCUUACUCGCUUAUGCUAUUUUACCUACGCUUAGGAUGUUGACUGAUAUGUAGUCGUA